AUUGAACGCUGGCGGCAGGCCUAACACAUGCAAGUCGAGCGGAUGAAGGGAGCUUGCUCCUGGAUUCAGCGGCGGACGGGUGAGUAAUGCCUAGGAAUCUGCCUGGUAGUGGGGGAUAACGUCCGGAAACGGGCGCUAAUACCGCAUACGUCCUGAGGGAGAAAGUGGGGGAUCUUCGGACCUCACGCUAUCAGAUGAGCCUAGGUCGGAUUAGCUAGUUGGUGGGGUAAAGGCCUACCAAGGCGACGAUCCGUAACUGGUCUGAGAGGAUGAUCAGUCACACUGGAACUGAGACACGGUCCAGACUCCUACGGGAGGCAGCAGUGGGGAAUAUUGGACAAUGGGCGGAAGCCUGAUCCAGCCAUGCCGCGUGUGUGAAGAAGGUCUUCGGAUUGUAAGGCACUUUAAGUUGGGAGGAAGGGCAGUAAGUUAAUACCUUGCUGUUUUGACGUUACCAACAGAAUAAGCACCGGCUAACUUCGUG
rnacentral:rRNA from 1 species